UAAGUUCUCGUUCAUUUGGGUAGCCUA
rnacentral:piRNA from 1 species